CGGGGGGGCGAAGCGUUGUUCGGAAUUACUGGGCGUAAAGGGUUCGUAGGUGGCUCGCUAAGCCAGACGUGAAAUCCCUCAGCUUAACUGGGGAACUGCGUCUGGGACUGGAGAGCUCGAGUGCAGGAGAGGAAUGCGGAAUUCCAGGUGUAGCGGUGAAAUACGUAGAUAUCUGGAGGAACACCGGUGGCGAAGGCGGCAUUCUGGACUGCAACUGACACUGAGGAACGAAAGCCAGGGGAGCAAACGGGAUUAGAUACCCCGGUAGUCCUGGCCCUAAACGAUGAAUGCUUGGUGUGGCGGGUAUCGAUCCCUGCCGUGCCGGAGUUAACGCGUUAAGCAUUCCGCCUGGGGAGUACGGUCGCAAGGCUG
rnacentral:rRNA from 1 species